rnacentral:rRNA from 1 species
UACGUAGGGAGCAAGCGUUGUUCGGAUUUACUGGGCGUAAAGGGCGCGUAGGCGGCGCGGUAAGUCACUUGUGAAAUCUCUGAGCUUAACUCAGGACGGCCAAGUGAUACUGCAGUGCUAGAGUGCAGAAGGGGCAAUCGGAAUUCUUGGUGUAGCGGUGAAAUGCGUAGAUAUCAAGAGGAACACCUGAGGUGAAGACGGGUUGCUAGGCUGACACUGACGCUGAGGCGCGAAAGCCAGGGGAGCAAACGGG